UUACGGUCAUAACACUUCGAAACAGCGGUUCUCGUUCGAUCACCGAAGUUAAGCCAGAUCGAGCCUGGUCAGUAUCUAGAUGGGUGAUUGUUUAGGAAUACUAGAUG